UCAUUCCCUUAUUAAACAAAAUGCGUCAGCACCAACACGCACAUACAUGUAUGUCAAAUGACAUCCACCACCUCUAGGUAAAAUUAAACUAAACACUGAUGGAACCGCCAAAAGUAAUCCAUCUAAAAAUGGUAUAAGAGGAGUAUUCCGCAAUACAAUGGGACAAUGUUUACUAGGCUUCAUGGGUACAAGAGAUACAGAUAACUCCACAUAUAUGGAAUUAAAUGCAUUAUUAUAGGGUUUGCAAUUAGCAUGUCUUCAUCAACUCAUACCACUAGAAGUGAACGUGGAAAACAAAAACUGAAAAUUCUAAGCUAGCUCUAAUCUGAAGCUCAGAAUGCUACUUCUUGGUUCUUCAUUUCAUAAAUUCAAUCGAGAAGUCACGUCAACAAAAUCAUUCUCAUUGCAAAGUAUUGUUAGACCACUCGUUGGAUGAUGAAAUCCAAACUCUUCUUCUGCUUUGCAUAACAAGUUCUGGAACGAAGGAUGGUUCAGGUAUGUUAUUGGCACCACAUAUCGCUUCUUCUCAAUCUCUCCGACAUAAACUGCAAAAUGUCCUUUAGGAACAUCUGAAUGAUUCCUUUUAAGAACAGACUGCAAUUUGUAGAUUUGAUUGGCACCGGAAAUCAUAGGCACUUAAUCCUGCAGCUGAGUAUCCUCCGAUUAUCCACACAUAUAGGGAGCAAAACUACGUUGCACAUACUCUUGCUCAAAAUGGUUCCACUGUCUAUGUGGGAGACUACACAACAAUCUUCACCCAACCACCAAGUUUUUUGCUACCACAUCUUUUGGCUGAUCAACAAGGUACUCCCUACCCAAGAUCUGUAAAGACGACAUGUCCAAUCAAAUUGUCCUAUAGUCCGACCUUUUUGGAAAGUGAUCACUCCAACGAUCAUCAUUUUGAUUACAAUUUUUGUAAUGUAUUGCAACAAGCUCCUUGUAAUGUCACAAUUUAAAUUAAUAUAAGUUGGUUUGUUGACCAAAAAAAAAAG